rnacentral:rRNA from 1 species
GACGAACGCUGGCGGCGUGCUUAACACAUGCAAGUCGAACGGUGAAGCUCAAGCUUGCUUGGGUGGAUCAGUGGCGAACGGGUGAGUAACACGUGAGCAACCUGCCCCGGACUCUGGAAUAAGCGCUGGAAACGGCGUCUAAUACUGGAUAUGACACCAAUCCGCAUGGGUAUGGUGUGGAAAGUUUUUCGGUCUGGGAUGGGCUCGCGGCCUAUCAGCUUGUUGGUGAGGUAAUGGCUCACCAAGGCGACGACGGGUAGCCGGCCUGAGAGGGCGACCGGCCACACUGGGACUGAGACACGGCCCAGACUCCUACGGGAGGCAGCAGUGGGGAAUAUUGCACAAUGGGCGAAAGCCUGAUGCAGCGACGCCGCGUGAGGGAUGACGGCCUUCGGGUUGUAAACCUCUUUCAGCAGGGAAGAAGCGAAAGUGACGGUACCUGCAGAAGAAGCACCGGCUAACUACGUGCCAGCCGCCGCGGUAACAC